CUUUGGGACUAGGGAUGGUCAUCAAGCUGUGCCGAGACCGGAGAUAAUGCAAAUGUUGCGCAAACCAACGCUUAUCUCCUUCAUUUGAAGCAGGACUGACAUGGAGGCUCGGCAAAUCCGUGUUAUCUGGAGAGACUGUCAUGGAGAAACCACCAGGUAAUGAUAAAGUUACUGAGCCGCAAAUAGGUGAGGCCAUGCACCCUUCCCUUGCAUCUUGUGACAAAGGGAUGUGUCAGUGAUGUGCACUCAGGACCAACCCAUGCCAUCAUCAAUAUUUUCUUCACAAAUUGCUUUUCUCGACUGUGACUUGUAGCCGGGUGGUUCUCGACUUCAGAACCACAGCCUCAAUAUGGAUUUGCAAUCGAAGCUCACAACAGCACUGAGGACAAUUAUGAAGAAGAGAUGAGUGUUAUUGGAGAUGAAUUGCUGUUUGGAUUUGGUUCCGACCAUUUUCUUGGCUGACUGCUGAAUGGCACUCAGGAGAACUCGGGUAUCGUCACUUCCGCUCAUGGUGCUGCUUGCAGGCUGCAUGGAGUGCGCACAGCUACUGUCUCUGGACUUCAUUCCAAACCCGAGCGAAUCACCAAGGUUUCCUGGAAACGGCUUCUUUCAUCCUGGCGAUAUGGUCCGAGUUAAAUGCCAGUACAAUGCCGCAGAAUGUGAAAGUAGGAAUCACACCCAUCUGGUCAUUGUCCCGGAGGGGAAACUCCGAUUGACGGACGCUGGCCGAGGCAAAUGUUGGACAGAAGUCAAGAUUGAGAACAUCACUCUCGUGGAAGGAAAAGAAUUUAUCAGGUGUAGUGACACGGAAGACCAGACACAAGUUAGAAGACGGUCGAUUCGUGUUGGUUAUCCUCCGGUACAACCAACAAAUCUCACAGUCGAAUUUAUUCCCCUCGAUACGAUUCGUCUCUGGCUGGAUCCAGUUAAAAUAGGAAUGGACCUGAAUGACAAUACAACAUUGUGGACUGUGAAUUUUAUUUGGAGGGAUGGUCCUAACGAGUGCGGGACAACGAAGACAGAGCAGCUGACCUCUUCCAGCAGUUUCGUCGCCUGCACCUUGAACCUGACGGGUCGUAACAAAGAUCACGGGACUUACGUUGGAGACCACGGAGGCAGUGUGUACAAACCUGUCACCUUUAACAUCAGCGUCAACAACCUAUUUGGACAAGCUCAAGUGGAGGAAUCUUUUGACUUGUGUUUUAAUGUCAGACCGGGUAAGGUGCAAGGGGCUCGGGUGGUAGAGCGAGGCGAGACCUGGCUUAAUCUGACCCUUGACCUACCAGGCGGUAUUGACAAGCCAAUGCUCCAGUAUAUGUCCUACGGCAAUGACAGCGACCAAAUGAGACUGCGCUACACUCUCGACCAAGUCUCGGAGAAGGACGAGAACAGGUUACGGCCCGAGAGACUGGCAUUCUACCAGAACUUCGGUUUUUACCGCAACUUGCACGAAGACGAAGAAGCCAGGACGAGGCUCAACUUCAGUCUCCAACUUCCUUUUACUAAAGAGGUACCCUGGUCAGACAUAAAUUCUACUACUCUGCAUUUGAGCAUAUCCGGGUUGUCGCCAAACACCCAUUACAGGGUGGAGCUUCGUCUUCUUGCACGCUACCCGGGACCCCUGUUUGAAAUGCCGCUUGACGAAACGUUAACAUCUGAAAGCGUGCCUCUGCAGGCCCCAUCACUGAAAGGUGUUAGUCCAAGCUACUGCUUUGGAAAACAAAACUGCAUCUCUUGUGUCAUUUAUUUCCAGGAAAUUCCACGACCGCUGAGGUUUUCAGAGGUCGAACGAUAUGUUCUGACUGCCACUCUGAUUCAGACGACACAAAGCCUUUCUAACGACUCCAUUGUCGAAAGAGCGAGCAAUAUUACCGUUACAGCAGGCGGACAACAAAAUGCCAUUCUGCUCGAUCGCCUUGUCCCUAACGACUUGUACAACAUCAGCCUUGUGGCAUAUACGGCCAAAGGGACGUCACCCACCUCCACUCUCACACUCAACGCCACGCAGCAUGAAGGAAUCGCAGAUGUAGACCUCGAAGUUGGCCAGUCACAAGAUGGCGGCAGUUCCAGACAGUACCGCGUCUCCUGGCAUGACGAGCAGCAGACUGGAGCCGCGGAUAAUGUCACGUACUUCGUCCACUACUGCUACGUCAACAACGUAGUCAGUGGCCUGUUGUGUAAGACCAAUCUUCUGACACUAAUGGCGUCGACCAGCACAAGCUCUGCACACUGACCAUUCCCCGUUACCGUGGUAACAGCACAGACCUACAACCCAUCUUCUUCGUGUCUAGGGUACAAAACGGACGGUCCAGCGGACUGAUCAAGUCCAAGUGGGUGUACAACAUGGACGCAGACCCCGGGCCCGUGGACUGGGUGACAGUGACAUCACUUCCUGAAACGUUUAGACUACAGGUGGAUUUUGCACCGACCAGGGAAGCGAAUUCCGACACUCCGGUAUAUGGCCGUCCGUCCGGGUACAUCAUCGCAUGGACAGAGAACGGUUCUUGUGAUACCCGUUGUCAAGCUCUGCGAACUGCACCGCCCAACCAAAUGAUGAAGCUACCAUCAUACACGGUAAGACCGUUUACCCUGAUGGACCUUUCACCUUCAACUUCCUACUGCGUUGGAGUCAAGGCCUUGAAAGGAGAAAAUAGCAGCACGUGGACAUGUUCUACUAGUUCCACAGGCGGAGAGCCACACGAGUUCAAUAAAGCUGUCGCCAUCUCGGCAUCAUUGGCCUCAUUUGUCUUGCUGUGUGGCCUGGUUUGCAUCCUUCAUUAUUGCAACACUCAGGUCAACAUGAAAAAAGCCAAGCUGAAGUAUACUGUGACUGACCUUCCUAGACCUAAGACCACCUCAUAUCAGCUACCGGAUUUGGCGAUGGCUUCCUUUACUGUAGCCUCAGCAGAAACGGGUAGGCAGGGUGGACACAGACUUGCCAGCUGCACCGCUUCUUCAACAGACAGCACCUGUGGGCGUACAUGUCGUCCGAGCAGAAAUGUCACAUCUACGGCGCCGUGGAGAGCAAAGAAACCAGUGAAAGGGAGGGGGAACGAUUCUACUGCAAGAUCCACGGCAAAGACAGUGACGUGUGCGAGGAACGGGACGCCACAACAGGUGCAGGGAAAGACGUCACGGAAGCCGUUAGGGGAAUGGAUGUGAGCGAGGUCACGAGGGAACAUGAACCCCAGGACAGCUUCAGCUACGACGCCAAUGACGUGGUAGAAAGUGACGUCUGCGAAGAAUGCUGUGGUGUCGUGGGACGCUACGUCACAGAAGACGCCUAGCGAUGACGGAAGUGACGUUACGGAGGACAAGCCACGUUCAUUGGAACAACGUGACAGACGACGAGGAAGAAAGUGACAUCAGUGACGAAGCCAGUACUGCCGCAGAAAGAUACGUCACUAACGCUUCGUGGACCUAUCCUUUCAUUGCCGCGCUGGCAUCGGACUCGCAGACAGACUCCUUGAGGCGGUUGCGACCUUUACCGUGUUCAGGGGAAGACAACCUGGCCUUUGGCAACUUUCAAGCAACGGAUUCCAUCGGUGGGACUCGAACGUUUAGGCACCGACACUCGAGACCAGAACAGGGAUUGUUCUCCAGACAACAAGACAGUGUCUCUGUUGACGGAAUGUAACUCAUGUGAAUCGACAGCCUUCAUGCCGGAAGUUGCUUUUUCGCCUGCAGCCAAGAAACCAAAUGUGCCUUUACAUAUUAUCCAGAUUUUGCAAGGCCAUUUUAACAGCUCUGACCAUUAUGUUCACAUUUCGGAACUUCAGCGGGAGGAACCUUUAGAAAGUUGAUGCUGUCCUACACGAUCUCAAAACUUUCACA